GUGUGUGUGUGUGUGUGUGUGUGUGUGUGUGUCGCUAGUUACACACGCGCUUAUUCACAUUUCCUGUGUUUUUUCGGCGCUGAAGGAACAGAGCGUCGCUUGAGGCGUUUAUUUGUGCAGGUGUCGCUCCGCGGGAGAAAGUAAUCAUUGUAAAAAUAUCGAGUAAUGGCUGCUGAAGUGAAUGGCAGCUCUGCUCCUGCAAAAGAAGAAGAAGAGCCUAUGGAGGUCUCGGCGGCACACACAGAAAACUACCAGACUCUCAUUGAUGCUGGACUUCCCCAGAAAGUAGCUGAGAGCUUGGACAACAUCUUCCAGACUGGUUUGGUGGCCUAUGCUGACCUUGAUGAGAGGGCGAUCGAUGCUCUGCGUGAGUUUAAUGAAGAAGGAGCUCUGUCUGUACUGCAGCAGUUUAAGGAAAGUGACUUGUCUCAUGUCCAGAAUAAGAGUGCCUUCCUGUGUGGUGUCAUGAAGACCUACAGACAGCGGGAAAAGCAAGGCAGCAAAAUACAGGAAUCCACAAAAGGCCCAGACGAGACAAAGAUAAAGGCUUUGCUGGAGAGGACAGGAUAUACCCUGGACGUCACUACAGGCCAGAGGAAAUAUGGUGGCCCACCCCCAGAGACAGUCUUCUCAGGCACACAGCCUGGAAUUGGCACUGAGGUGUUUGUGGGAAAGAUUCCUCGGGACUUGUAUGAAGAUGAGCUGGUUCCGCUGUUUGAGAAGGCGGGACCUAUAUGGGACCUGAGGUUAAUGAUGGACCCGCUGUCCGGACAGAACCGUGGUUAUGCGUUCAUCACCUUCUGUAGCAAAGAUGCUGCACAGGAGGCGGUCAAACUGUGUGAUAAUUAUGAGAUCAGACCAGGGAAGUAUUUGGGUGUUUGCAUUUCUGUAGCCAACAACCGACUCUUUGUGGGCUCCAUUCCAAAGAACAAGACCAGGGAAAGCAUCCUGGAAGACUUUGGCAAAGUGACAGAGGGUCUACAGGAAGUUAUUCUGUACACGCAAGCUGACGACAAGAAGAAGAACCGAGGUUUCUGCUUUUUAGAGUAUGAGGACCACAAGUCAGCAGCACAGGCCCGUCGUCGCCUUAUGAGUGGCAAAAUUAAGGUGUGGGGAAACCCUGUAACAGUGGAGUGGGCUGACCCGGUUGCUGAACCUGACCCUGAGGUCAUGGCCAAGGUGAAGGUGCUGUUUGUUCGUAAACUAGCCACUUCUGUCACAGAGGAGCUCCUAGAGAAGACAUUCUCGCAGUUUGGGAAACUGGAACGUGUUAAGAAACUGAAAGACUAUGCCUUCGUUCACUUUGAGGAGCGGGACGCUGCUGUUAAGGCCAUGGAAGAGAUGAAUGGGAAAGAGCUUGGGGGAGAAGAGAUUGAGAUUGUCCUCGCAAAGCCUCCAGAUAAGAAGAGGAAAGAACGGCAAGCUGCCCGACAGACCAGCAGAAAUACAGGAUAUGAUGAUUAUUACUACUACCCCCCACCUCGCAUGCCACCCCCAGGCCGUGGCCGUGGCCGAGGUGGUCGUGGCGGCUAUUCUUACCCACCCGAUUACUAUGGCUAUGAAGACUACUAUGAUGACUACUACGGUUAUGAUUACCAUGACUAUCGUGGUGGCUACGAUGAUCCCUAUUAUGGCUAUGAAGAAGUGUAUCCAAUAAGGGGACGUGGCAACCGUGGGAGCCGUGGAGCCCCUCCCCCACCAAGAGCACGCGGGGUUCCCCCGGCUCGUGGUAGAGGUGGCUAUGCUCCGAGGGGAGGUGCUCCCAUGGGUGCAGGCCGUGGAGGACGUGGAGGGGGACGAGGUGGCCCUUUCCAGUCGCCCAGGGGUGGACGUGGCACCAGAGGUGCCCGUGGGAACCGUGGCGGCAAUGUGGGUGGGAAGAGAAAGGCAGACGUGUUUAACCAACCGGAUUCAAAACGACGCCAGACGACCAAUCAGCAGAACUGGGGGUCGCAGCCAAUCGCUCAGCAGCCACUACAGCAAGGGGGCGACUACUCCAGCAACUACUACAGCAAUGACACCCUGGAGUUCUCCCAGGAUUCCUAUGGGCAGCAGUGGAAGUAGACGACACACACGUCACCACACCCCCAAAAAAAGAGUAUGUCAGUGACACAAUAAGGACACGCCCCAGAAUUGGCUUCACAAAUCCUGAUUGGCUGAAAGUAUCGGCGCGAGAGAGAGAGCCGUUGCUAGCUUGAGGAACACACCAGAACUGUGUUCUUCUUCAGCAGGGGUUACAGAUUGUCCAGAAAAUUGUCUACAGUCUUCCAGCAAUGGAGCAUGUUGUGUGCAGCACCUGUCCUCUGUAUAUCAGGAGCUGUAGGUGUUUCCUGGUGUCUCCCGACCUCAUAGCUGAGAAGACUUCGUUUUUGGGAUAACAGCACCGGGUAUCAGCCGGCUGUGGUGCCGAAGGAAAUGACGAGGCUCGUGUUUCAUGGGGACUCGUGGAAGCAGUCGACAGACAGCAGAAGAAAUCAAGGACACAAUUAGUGCAUGAGACAUGAGUUUCUUUGUAAUGUGACCAUGUCUAUUGUUCAAUUUGCUACACAAACACAAUGGAAUUUAAAAUUUAAUUAACACCAUUUUCUGUCCUUGUUUUAUAUGGACCGUGUGAAGGUUUCACGUUAUGUAGGAUUUUCACUAGUGGAAACCAGUAGCUAUUUCUGUGCACUUUUGUGUAAGGGUGGCUCGUCUCACUUCACAGUGUCAAAACAGAUGUGUUGUCUGCUGAUGCGAUGCAAUAAACCUCCAGUCAGCUACUUCAUCUGCUCUCACCUUAUUAAUAACUUCAGUUUAGAGACAUGGUUAAAACUCUUAAAGUUGAUACUCUUAUGAAGCUCACACUCAAGUUCCUGUUAGGAACUUGCAUACUUGGAUCCUGCUUGGUAAGCCAAUAAAAUGUGGUUAACUAGGAAUGCAUCCAUUAAUAUUUUUACUCUGUGUAGUAACUUAUGAUCUAAUAGUGUAUAGAAUUCAACAGUUUCUUUGCUUUUUUUUUUUUGAAUCACCCUAUUUUCUGUACAUAGGUUAUCGGUGUUAAUUGAUCAUUUCGUUUGUUUUUGUUUGUUUGCUGAAUAUUGCCCAUUGGGAUCAGCCAGAAUACCAGUUCACUUAGCUUUUGUUGUACAGCACUUUUAUUUAAGGACAUAAAGUCACAAAGCACAUUUACAGAAAUAUGUAUAUAAGAUGUAAUUUAAUUAAACUCUAAAGAGAAAGCCAGAGGUGACAGUUUGUGAGGAAGUCAAAUCAUUCUUUAAAUCAAGAUUAAACUUUCUAUACUUAGUUUCCAUUUUGUAACCACCAGGUGAUUAUCUACUAUCUCUCUGUCUCAUAAUAAAGUACACCUUACUUUGCAUUAAAAUUUAUAUACAUUUACGUUUA